GAUUAGCGGAGUGGUUAACGCGUUGGCCUGCUAUAGAUCUCACGAUCUGAGUCAGCCAAUUCCUUCGGGAGCGUGUGUUCGAAUCACACAGGUGUCG
rnacentral:tRNA from 1 species